UGAGGGGAUACUGAUAGGCCAGGGCUGUAUUUCGCUGUACCUAUGGGAAAGCAUUGAGAUCUUCAAGAUUGUGAUCUCAGCCAUGAAGGCGGGGCAAGCUGCAGUGUGAGAGAAAAGUAUGUUUCAAACCUUUUUAGAGUGAUCUGAGUGGCUACAAGUGUGUAUUCCAGGCACUACAGUGUUCCUUUAAAGAAAGCAUGUCAAACUCGAGUCCCACAAUGGACAUCUUUGCGGCGAGCCGCGAGU